CGUUCCGCCGCUUUAAAUGAAUACGGUCAGAAUUAAAUCCUUCUCUCUAGUUUCGGUUUGGGUCCGGAUCGGACAACGUCUGGGUCCGGACACGGACCGCGGUCCGCCAGUUGGUGACCUCUGCUGUAAAUAGUUCAUGGAAGUUAGCAGCAAAAACUAUCUAUCAGCACAGUGAAGCUGGAGCAGGAUACACCAUCUGUGAUCCACUUUUACAGUUGAGGUGGCAAAGCUAAAGGUGGAAAUCAAAUUCCUACAUGAUGAAUGCACAGUUUUGAAGGAACAUGUGGACAAAUUAACAUCUGUUCCUGACAUGGCUGCAGGUCCUUCAGGAUGGAGAGGGGCAGAAGAUUCCGCAUCCUGCUUUCUGAUAGACGAAAAAAAGGAAAAGCACAAGAAGAAGAAGAUCAAGAAGAACAAAAAAUAUAACAUCUUACCUAAAAGAAAUGUAUAAUCAAUAAUGUAAAUAAAUAAAUAAAUAAGUUUAAUGUUA